rnacentral:rRNA from 1 species
AAGUAGAACGCUGAAGCUUGGUGCUUGCACCGAGCGGAUGAGUUGCGAACGGGUGAGUAACGCGUAGGUAACCUGCCUCUUAGCGGGGGAUAACUAUUGGAAACGAUAGCUAAUACCGCAUAAAAGUCGACAUUGCAUGAUGUUGACUUGAAAGGUGCAAUUGCAUCACUAAGAGAUGGACCUGCGUUGUAUUAGCUAGUUGGUGAGGUAACGGCUCACCAAGGCAACGAUACAUAGCCGACCUGAGAGGGUGAUCGGCCACACUGGGACUGAGACACGGCCCAGACUCCUACGGGAGGCAGCAGUAGGGAAUCUUCGGCAAUGGGGGCAACCCUGACCGAGCAACGCCGCGUGAGUGAAGAAGGUUUUCGGAUCGUAAAGCUCUGUUGUAAGAGAAGAACGAGUGUGAGAGUGGAAAGUUCACACUGUGACGGUAACUUACCAGAAAGGGACGGCUAACUACGUGCCAGCAGCCGCGGUAAUACGUAGGUCCCGAGCGUUAUCCGGAUUUAUUGGGCGUAAAGCGAGCGCAGGCGGUUAGAUAAGUCUGAAGUUAAAGGCUGUGGCUUAACCAUAGUACGCUUUGGAAACUGUUUAACUUGAGUGCAGAAGGGGAGAGUGGAAUUCCAUGUGUAGCGGUGAAAUGCGUAGAUAUAUGGAGGAACACCGGUGGCGAAAGCGGCUC